rnacentral:rRNA from 1 species
CACGUAGGAGGCAAACGUUAUCCGGAUUUACUGGGCGUAAAGCGCGUGUAGGUGGUUCUGUAAGUAGGGCGUGAAAGCUCCCGGCUCAACUGGGAGAGGCCGUUCUAAACUGCAGAGCUAGAGGAUGGUAGAGGGAGGUGGAAUUCCAGGUGUAGCGGUGGAAUGCGCAGAUAUCUGGAGGAACACCAGUGGCGAAGGCGGCCUCCUGGACCAUUCCUGACACUCAGACGCGAAAGCUAGGGUAGCAAACGGGAUUAGAUACCCGUGUAGUCCCU